GCCCUGGUAGCCCAACCGGCAGAGGCAUGCGACUCAAACUCGCACCAGUGUGGGUUCGAAUCCCACCCAGGGCA
rnacentral:tRNA from 1 species